CCUUCUCGCGGAGAAGCUGGAUGACACUAUGUGAGUUAUUGCCUCUCCUGCAGACGACGUACAAGUACGACUUUUUAUCCAAGGUGGCGGAGGAGGAAUCGGGCGUUUUCAUUCAGUGAGGUCUCGAGCAUAUGCAUCUUCUCCUCCAGAACAAAGAGCAGAAUGUUCAAAGAUCCAGAAAGUGAAACUAUGAGCAGGCCGUACAUCCAGCAGCAGACGAGGUUCACCCUUGUCCAUCAGACUUUUGUACUCUGUAAGUUGUACAAGUGAUGCAGGCACUCUCUGGCAGCAGGUUCAGGCUUGGCACCGAUUGCCUUAUGUCAGAUGAAUAGGUUAAAUGUCCUAACUUCUCAACCUGGAGCACUUGGUGAUUCUGCCAAGUUGCCACCGCUAAAACGAUGUUUUCAUAUCUUCUGCACAAUCAAAUUGGCAAUGCGACUCCUCGGGGCCAGGGCUGGAAGGUGUGUUGGUGGGACUGCCGAGGGAAGAGGAAGGUCAUCUUACAAGCCUAGAGGUAAGGUGUUCAACAGGUUCCCUCAUGAUAUGCAGAGUGACCUCCCUCACGGUAUGGCUGUAGAGGCACCUGGUGUAUGAAGAGUCCAGCAAGACCACCAGUCAGAACAAGGAACCUGAAAGUGAAGCCAGGAUAAUGCCACAACCUAAGAUUGCAUACAAGGCUUUGUUUUCUUCUUCAUGUCUCCUUUUUUCACAAGUUAUUAUUUCUAUUCGUAACUUGUUAUCAUUCUGUUAUAUGCACUGCUGAAGUAAGAGAAUGCCCAACUUUGGAGAGUAAAUGAAAUCAUUCAAGUGGCCA